UACGUAGGGACCGAGCGUUGUCCGGAUUUAUUGGGCGUAAAGCGCGCGUAGGCGGCCAAUCGCGUCGGAUGUGAAAGCUCGGAGCUCAACUCUGAGAGGUCAUUCGAUACGGGUUGGCUAGAGGCAGGUAGGGGAGAUCGGAAUUCCUGGUGUAGCGGUGAAAUGCGCAGAUAUCAGGAGGAACACCGGUGGCGAAGGCGGAUCUCUGGGCCUGUUCUGACGCUGAGGUGCGAAAGCUGGGGGAGCAAACAGG
rnacentral:ncRNA from 2 species